AGAGAGGCUUGGAGGGGUUUGUGGUCCCCUCUCAGCCACCCCGAAAUGAUGUGCAGAAAUGAGGCGAUCCUGGCAACAGGUGGAGUGGGGGUCAAAGAGCCAAGUUAGCCCAGAUGGCAGCAAGACGACGGAACUUCUCCGCCCCAACCUGACGGCAGAUGCCGCCUGAGUCACCUCCGGGCGGCUCCUAGCCCUCCCUCAUCCUGGUCCUGCCUCAGGAAGCUGACUGCUGGGAUCUGCUCUCUGCGCGCGGCCAGCAGUGGGUUCGGGACUUGGCUUUCUUUAUCUCCAGUGCGAUCAAGAGCAGCAACUAGCUCUCUGGGGAGCAGGCCGCAGCUCCUAGGAUUCUGGCCCCUAGCCUAGGCCCAGGGACAUUGGAAAUUAGGGGCAAGUGAGGAGGAAACAGAGCUGAGCUGUGAAAGAAAGCUAGGACUGGCUCAAAGGUUGGACCUGAAAGUUGGGGCUGAUGGAUGGCCCAUGGCAAAGUCUUAGGAAAGCGGGGGGGCUUUGGAGGGUUGCACUUCGACCGUCACCGUCUUCAGGAAACUCUCUUUGGAUUCCAAGGUUAUGUUUUCCCCGCUUUCCGACAGUAUUGGCCUGGCAGCGACCCACACCACUGCACGCCGCUCUUUUUUCUCCUCUUACCCGCCUGCAGGUUGGGGGAGGGGUGAUUCAAAAGGAGGGCGAAAUGCCAAGCCUGAUCCUGCAGGUGAUCUACUGAUGCAAACUCUAUUCUGGGCACCCGGAGGCUGCCCACACUUACUUCAGCCCCGAGCUGGGAAACCCAAGCUUCUCCCUCUAGAGAAUAGGAGAAUGAGUAAAAGCCCCUGCACAAUCCAGUCUCAGCAAACUCCUGGCCCUUGAGGGUCGAAUGGAGGGAAGCCAGGAAGGUGCGGGGUGCAGAUGGGGAAAUCAGGCAGCGGGCAAAGGCCGAGGUCAGGUUCCUCUCUGGCUCGGAGCUCCCAGCCAGCUUUCAGGGUUUUUGCUCUGCGCCCGCCAGCGACAAGUUACAGCGGAGAGGUGGGCAUGCCUUUCCCGCUGCCGGCUAAUCAGUAAGCAGCAGCUCGGGAACUGAAGUCUCUAACUGCAGCUGACCUCUGACCUUGGGUAGUCCUGCGCCGGCUAGGUCGGCCCCACAACUUGCAGCUUCCGAGGCUCCCCCAAAUAAAAAUGGUGCUUUUUGCACCUACCCACUGUCCCACCUUUUUGGCUCUCCUCCGGCACUAUCAAUCACUGGAGCUCCCUGGCACCAGUUCCUCUUCUCAAGGUGGGGGCAGAAGGGCAGAUUCCAAAAAGUCUCCAGGAUGUGCUAUGGACUGGUAAUUAGGAGGCCGUGGUUGAGGUGGGGAGCAAGCCUUUGGGGAAAACGAAACUGAGUUUCUACAUGCCGUGGUUAUUUGAGACCUCAGGUCCAGGGGCCUCAGGAUUGCUCCCAAAUUUUCUCACCUCUCCUUCAGCAAGAUGACUGGCUUGUUUGCUAAGCGGUGUCAGAGUUUGCACGAAAGGAGAUGUUUACCCUGGUUCCCUGUGUAGGCUGGGUGAUGGAAAUGCUACAGAGAGACUCCUAAGGUCCCAGUUGCCUGCCCUAGCCCGACCUCUGCAACAUUUGUUUGCGUGUCUAUGGGUCUGCAGUGCACAAAAGGCUGACAAGACCUGGAGCAGAAGUGAUCCAUACCUCUUAGAAGUUGGGUUGGAGCAGCCUUAUGGGUGGACAGAGAUCUCUAGGGAACCUCACACCCAUUUCCCCCAGAAGCAAAAGAGUAAAUUCUAUUGUUGCCAACCAACCAGGACUUCUCCAUGCCAGACAUCCUGCCAUGAGGAAAUUUCAGAGCGAGGACGCCCAGCAUGCCGCCCUUCUGUAGGAAUGCAAAGUUAGGCCUCCUUUCUUUCCUGAUUUGCACUGGAAGGAGCUUAUUACCUUUGGGGAAGAAUGCCUUUUGGUUAGAAAUAAUUGAAAAUAAUAAUACCCUGUGGGAAAAGGCUCAAAGUCAGAAAAUGAGAUACAAGACAUCCUUGGUGAUGAGGAAACGAUUACGGCUUUACCGAAACACUCUGAAAGAGUCAAGUAGCAGCUCUGGACACCAUGGCCCCCAGCUCGCCGCCGCCUCCAGCCCCUCGGUGUUCCCGACCCUCCAUGAGGAGCCUCCCCAGGCCUCCCACAGCCAUCCUUUGAAUGGACUCCUGCGUCUGGGGCUCCCUGGAGACAUGUACUCGCGGCCAGAACCCUUCCCGCCAGGGCCUGCGGCCCGCAGCGACGCCCUGGCAGCUGCCGCAGCUCUGCAUGGCUACGGGGGCAUGAACCUGACGGUGAACCUCGCUGCGCCCCACGGUCCUGGCGCUUUCUUCCGCUACAUGCGCCAGCCCAUCAAACAGGAGCUCAUCUGCAAGUGGCUGGCGGCCGACGGCACCGCGCCCCCGAGCCUCUGCUCCAAAACUUUCAGCACCAUGCACGAGCUGGUCACGCACGUCACCGUGGAGCACGUCGGCGGCCCGGAACAGGCCAACCACAUUUGCUUCUGGGAGGAGUGUCCGCGCCAGGGCAAGCCCUUCAAAGCCAAAUACAAACUUGUAAAUCACAUCCGCGUGCACACGGGCGAGAAGCCCUUCCCUUGUCCUUUCCCGGGGUGUGGGAAGGUCUUUGCUAGAUCAGAAAAUCUCAAAAUACACAAACGAACUCACACAGGGCAUCGCAGCCACCGAUCCCAGCCCCUCCCGGGCCUAUCCCAGCCACCCGGUCGCCCUCCAGUCUGCAGAGCCGGGCCUGCCCUGACAGCUGCAGCUGUUCUCUUCCCGAAGCCUCAGCGCUCAAGGGCGUGGUUGCGAUAGAGACCUCGGAUCCCACUCGGCCUGUGCGGACCCUACUGCGCCAACCCCUCGUCUUAGGCCCGAGAGACCCGACAGCCAGGCGAGAAGCCCUUCAGAUGCGAGUUCGAGGGUUGUGAGCGGCGCUUCGCCAACAGCAGCGACCGCAAGAAGCAUUCGCACGUGCACACUAGCGACAAGCCAUACACGUGCAAGGUGCGGGGCUGCGACAAGUGCUACACGCACCCCAGCUCGCUGCGUAAGCACAUGAAGGUGCACGGGCGCUCGCCGCCGCCCAGCUCUGGCUACGAUUCGGCUACACCGUCUGCCCUCGUGUCGCCCUCGUCAGACUGCGGCCACGAGUCCCAGGUGGCCUCCUCGGCGGCGGUGGCGGCGCGUAGUGCCGACUUGAGCGAAUGAUGUCCAUCGCGUUGCUCGCAAGGUAAUCUCGCUCCGCGCAGCUGAGCGCCCCGCAUCUUGCGCCUGCUACAUCAAAGGGCCCGCGCACAAAGCAGUGUUUCUUCGCCACGGUGCAUCUUCAUGGUAAGUUAGGAUUUCUAUGGCAAUGGGCAAGUCUCACUGAAAUCCUGAAAGGCCAAGCCUGGAGCCCGUCCAGGCUUUUCAUUAAGGACAUAAUAUUUACGUCUAACAGACCUUUUUUCUUGUGUAUACAAGUAUAUAUUUUUGUUUGACGCGGACUAAAUCAUUUUCAUUUAAUUUCCGGUAAACAAAACCCACGCGAAUGGGCACUUGUACCCGAUCAUAAUAAAAAUGGAUAAUAAUGUGAAGGAAGAAAAGAGCCGCUUGAAUCGCCGCUCAGCCCCCUUUGUUUCUGCUUUCUGCGGUGAUCAGAGGGCGCAUUUGGGUUUGAUGGCGAGUUUCUAAAGGCGAGGAAAUGGUUUGUAAGAGGGGAAAGAAAAGGAGAAAGGUCUAAUCAAGCUUGGGUUGUUCAAAGAGUCGGGUUUUGGGGUUGAAAGUGUGAGUUUGACGGUGCAUCAGCAUGCCGCGUUAGGCUCGCCAUGGAAAUACGCGCGGGGAGCGGCCGCUUCAAAGGCGGCACACUUCACUACAGACACUCUAUUAAGAUACAUUUGCGCUGACCUUUGCUUUCACGCCAUUUAAUACUGUCACUGCGCUCUCCAGUAUAUACUUCCUUCCUAGAACCCGACUUGCCCGCGUUUAGGGGUUCACCCUGCACCCGGAUGUGGGAGGCUUUGGAGCAGGGGACACUUUCAGGAAAGGGAGGAGCACAAGGACUCUGUGCAUCUUGACUGCGCACCAAAGAGCUCCAGGAUCAGGAGUGAAAGAUUUUAAAGCAGCCUCCGAAGCUUAACAAAUGAGCAUUCCAAACUCAGUUUUGUGCAAAUCGCCUUUCUGACUCUUGAGUAGGAUGGAGGCUUAAGUUUAAUGGGGACUUGUGGGGAAGGGAGCCACCCUGGGGGAGUCUGAGGAGUUCAGUCUGUGCCCUUGGGACAUUUCCACUCUGGCUUUCCUUACCACUCUUCUUCCUCUCCAUCCCAUAAGUCUCUUGCGGCCCCUCAAACUUGUUUCUUUCUAAGGCAGGGUGUGUGGUACCGUUAGGCCUGGACUUGUCCUAGAUGCAAACUCAAGAGCCCAAGGCCAAGGGGAUAUGGGGAAGAUGGCAGGAAAGUUAGAAGUCCAUGUUCCCUUAAUUGUCUUGUUGUUUAUUUUAUCCAAGUACCCCAGUGAAUAGGGGAAAAAUAAACACAGUGAAAAAAAAAAUCAAACAGUGGAGUCUUCUUUAGUGCCAGUCCUUGUGGUUGAAUAAAAAGGAUGGUCCGCUUUCUAUUGAGCUGAGAAAUCUUUGAAGUGGGAGUUAUUAUCUGAGACAUUCCUGCUUGUCGUCCUAACAACGCUGAUGAAACGUAAAAGGUUCUUUGUCAGCGAUUUGUUCUCCUCUCUGUCAAACUCCCUCUGCCCCGUUAGUUUCAAACCGUUUCUAAAGAGAUAAAAAUCAAACUUCUUUUAAAAAAAUAUCCACACACUGCACCAAUACAUAACUUUAGGACUAAGUCUUGCUAAGGGAUAAACAAAAGCAAUGCCUAGACAUCAGGGUCAGGGCCUGGCCUGGUGAAGUAUGCAGAAGUUGGGGGACCCUCGGGACAAGCUUUGGGACAUGAGGAAAAGUAUGCAGAGAGGGUCCAAGCAGAAUACAUACCCUAAGCCCAUAAUUGUAUGUCUGCUUUCUUCUGCUCCGACUUGCACUCAAUCAGCCCAAGUUGGUUCACCUGGAUGGGUUCCUUUGGGUACCCCUCAAGCUGCUAAUAUUCUUGCCCAGGAUCCUUGGAACUUAAGAUUGCAGCCAAGCAAUUGUUAAUAUCUCCUGCUCCUUCAAAGCCACCUCUGCUAAAAAUAGACCCAUUGUGUAUUUCUUCUCACUAGCAGCAAUCAACAAGCCCUUUCUGCCAUUAAUAAGAAGGAGAAUAGCUGAAGGAGAGAGAUGUUUUAUUAAUUUCCUGUUUCCUUCAGAAUCUUGGCAGUUGAAACUUAGAAGAUUUGGUCUACAACAUAGUGAUCGAAAAUGCAUGCAAAUGCCCAUCCUUCCCCUCAUUCACAUGUGCAGUUGUUCAUUUUAUAUUGUGCCCAGGAAAGAAACUUUCACCCAGUUCAGGUUUCCCCAAAACUCCUGUUGUGGUUUUAAAGGUGGUUUAAAUAAAUAAGGAUGUGCUGGUCCCGCUACACUGUGUGUGCUGAAUAAAUGACUUGUAAAGUUUUUCCGAGCUGUAACCCAUGCUGUUAUUAUAGUUGCUGCAAAAUGUUGUUUCUGAUAUUGAUUUUAUUUGUUAACUGGAGGUCUCCAUAUGUUUGUUUAUAUUGCUAAUUUAUGAGAAAAUGUAAUAAUCGCAAUGAAUGUGAAUUAUACAGACAGGCAAACAUUUUGUAAUCAUAAUUCACAUAUACACAAAAGCCUGGCUGAAACCUUAGACUGUUUGUACCCUCUCUACCCACACUGUUUGUGAUUUAUCAUCUGUCUCCUUAGUGUCAGUUAAAUUAUGAACUAACUUGAAAAUAAAAAGUUGUUUGACUGAAAGUGAUUGUUGAAUGAACAACAAAGUUGAAAGCCAUGGCUUGAUCUUGUAAAUAUGUAAAUGUAAAUGAUAUUAAAUCUGUGAUUCCUUUUCCCUCCAAAGGCCUUUGUGUACAUGGCACUCCAUUUGGCUAUUUUCUUUGGAAAUAAAUGAUGUGAUGUUCCCCUUCCUCUUUUGAA